rnacentral:rRNA from 1 species
AGAGUUUGAUCCUGGCUCAGGAUGAACGCUGGCGGCGUGCUUAACACAUGCAAGUCGAGCGAAGCGCUCAUGCGGAAUUUUCGGAAGGAAGCGGGAGCGACUUAGCGGCGGACGGGUGAGUAACGCGUGGGUAACCUGCCCCAUACCGGGGGAUAACGGUUAGAAAUGACCGCUAAUACCGCUUAAGCGCACGUGGCCGCAUGGCCACGCGCGAAAAACUCCGGUGGUAUGGGAUGGGCCCGCGUCUGAUUAGCUAGUUGGCGGGGUAAAGGCCCACCAAGGCGACGAUCAGUAGCCGACCUGAGAGGGUGGCCGGCCACAUUGGGACUGAGACACGGCCCAAACUCCUACGGGAGGCAGCAGUGGGGAAUAUUGCGCAAUGGGGGAAACCCUGACGCAGCAACGCCGCGUGAGUGAAGAAGUAUCUCGGUAUGUAAAGCUCUAUCAGCGGGGAAGAAGGAAGACGGUACCCGACUAAGAAGCCCCGGCUAACUACGUG